rnacentral:sRNA from 1 species
GUUAUGGAAUAGACCUAGUGAGCCCUUCCCUUGCAUUAGUGCCACUUGCCAGGAGGCAAGGCAGCUGCCACAAGCUCUGGAGUGGGGGGUUCCUUCUUGAUUCCACACCAGUGAGGUGUCUCAGUAGCCUACUACUCUUCAGGACAGACAGAUAGAGUGGACAGUCCCUGAGAACCGUCUGGAGGAAGGAAUUCUGCAGGUGGGUGGGGAAGCCAGGCAUGUAGGGAAGUAGGUCAUGCCUCCAGACAGGCAUAAGCACUGGUAAGGUUGAAUGAGCUCAGACCUGGGAAUCUCAGUGAUUUGAGAACGGCAGGAGUGGAGCUGCUUCCGGAGGCAGGGCAGCCUAUUGAGAAGACCACAGUCAUGUGGUAGCACCUGGAGUCUUUCCCCAUGCAGAUAGAGCAUCAUUAGCAUCUCAAACUCAGCCAGUGGAAAACAUCUACCCUCGAGAUUCCAUCCCACUCCUGAAGGAUUCAAGGAUAAAGCUGUCUACAGUCAGUUGCUGGGAGUCUUCAGCUUCAAUGAGGCCAUAGACAUCCCUCCGCCUGUGUGGUUCUGAUUCUCCCUCGCCCACAUUAGCAUCAUCCCUGAGCAGUAUCUGUAAUGCUUGCUUGCAGAAGAAAACAUUUCAAUGUCUCCAAGAAAGGCUAAGAGAUAUGAUUCUGUCUAAGUGCUACAACAGACACGGACAAGGAAGCCAGCUGCUGCUGCAGGCACACCUACAGUCCUGAGUAGAUGUGCGUGUGAACACAUGCCACCAUGUGGGAGCAGCUGAGACCCUCUCUAGGACAGGGCAGAGCUCACAGAUGCUCCUCUUCUCAGGAGAGCCUGCAGAGCUGUUUCUCCAGGAUGACUCUCCAUCCCUGAGUCUAACCCUGAGGACAGUCUCUCACCUACGUCUGGUCAACAGCAGAUACAAAGAUACUGCCUACUAAGUUCAAAACCCAAAGAGACAGCACAUACUGGCAAGGAUGUGGAGCAGGAAGAACACUACUCCAUUGCUAGUAGGAGUGCAAAAAAAAAAAAAAAAAGAUACUGCUUAUGCUGUCAACUGGGCAUGGCACCGAACACUGGCCUCUCCACACUGCAGUGCGGUUUGCUCCUGAUCUGCCUGCAAAGGCGCUGGUCCAAGGGUGUACCCUAAUAAAUUUCCA